ACGGGAGGCAGCAGUGGGGAAUAUUGGGCAAUGGGCGAAAGCCUGACCCAGCAACGCCGUGUGAGGGAAGAAGGUCUUCGGAUUGUAAACCUUUGUUUUUAGUGAAGAAAAAAAUGACGGUAGCUAAAGAGGAAGCCACGGCUAACUACGUGCCAGCAGCCGCGGUAAUACGUAGGUGGCAAGCGUUGUCCGGAUUUACUGGGUGUAAAGGGUGCGCAGGCGGGACUGCAAGUUGGAUGUGAAAUACCGGAGCUUAACUCCGGAACUGCAUCCAAAACUGUAGUUCUUGAGUGGAGUAGAGGUAAGCGGAAUUCCGAGUGUAGCGGUGAAAUGCGUAGAUAUUCGGAGGAACACCAGUGGCGAAGGCGGCUUACUGGGCUCUAACUGACGCUGAGGCACGAAAGUGUGGGUAGCAAACAGGAUUAGAUACCCUGGUA
rnacentral:rRNA from 1 species